rnacentral:rRNA from 1 species
AAAAUUUGUUAUUAAUUUGAUUUAUAUGUAAAUUUUUGUAUGAAUUUAUAUUUAUUUUAAAAAUGAAUAUAAUAUAUUUAUUCGCAGUAAUUAAUAUUAUUAAUUAAAGAAAUUUAGAAAUAGCAAUAUUAAAAAGUAUUGGCAAAAUUGGUGCCAGCAGUCGCGGUUACACCAAUAAUACAAAUAAAUUUUUUUAGUAAAAGUUAAAUGAUUAUAUAAUUAAAUAAAAUUAAAUUUAUUAGGUGAAAUUUUAAAUUUAAAUUAUUUAUUUGUAAAAAAAUUGAAACUAAAAAAUUUUAAUUAA